rnacentral:rRNA from 1 species
UUAGGAAUCUUCCACAAUGGGCGAAAGCCUGAUGGAGCGACGCCGCGUGAGGGAUGAAGGCCUUAGGGUUGUAAACCUCUAAAAGAGGGACGAUAAUGACGGUACCUCUCGAAUAGCACCGGCUAACUCCGUGCCAGCAGCCGCGGUAAUACGGAGGGUGCAAGCGUUAUCCGGAAUCACUGGGCGUAAAGGGCGCGUAGGCGGUCUGUUAAGUCCGAUGUUAAAUCCCGGGGCUCAACCCCGGAUAAGCGUUGGAUACUGGCAGGCUAGACGGUUGGAGAGGCGAGUGGAAUUACCAGUGUAGCGGUGGAAUGCGUAGAUACUGGUAGGAACACCCAUUGCGAAGGCAGCUCGCUGGACAACACGUGACGCUGAGGCGCGAAAGUGUGGGGAGCAAACC